AAGAAAAGGAGGAAGUGACAAGUGAAAAGAGAAGGAGGAAGAGGGGAAGAAAGAAAGGAGGGGGUGGAGAGGAGGAGGAAGUGCUUUAUACAGUUCGAUGUCCUUUUGAAUCGUGUAUGAUAAGAAGUUGUGAGUUUUCUCACUCAAAGGAGUUUCGUAACCGUUCGUUCGUUUUGUGCUCUCUUCUGAGGAAAAUAAUUAAUAAAAAAAAAAAAAAGAGGAAACGAGGAUGAAGAACGAGGAGAGUUUUGAAUCACGUCAUCGAAAUGACGUUGUCUUUUUGAAGGAAAAAAUUCUUUUAAUGCUGUUAAAAUGUAUGAUAAAAGGUAGAAGAAGAAGAAGAAGAAGGAAGGAAGAUGAGAUACUGAAUUAGAAUAAGGAAUAAAAGCGAAUGGAUCUUUUCUGGAUAAGCAGAGAGAAGAUCUGUAUCAUCGCCAGGAGAAGAAUAAGAGUGUAAAAGUAGGGGAGAGAGAGAGAGAGAGAGAGAGAGAGAGAGAGAGAGAGAGAGAGAGAGAGAGAUCAGUCCAGGAAAGGUGGAGUAGCAAACAUAUAUAAAAAAAGCUCUCCGCCGAGUUUCGUCCAUGUUUUUUAAUGGAGCGUACGAUAUAUGUGUUAAUGCAUAUAUGAUGAUCUGACAUGUGUACUACGUAUAUCGGGUUUUUAAAGAGAAAAAAACAGAAAGAGAGCGAGAAAAGAGGAGAGAUAGAGAGAAAGGAAAACGUGAAGAUGAAAACCUGGAAGAUAGAUAAAUGCGAUGAUAAUGAUGAGAGUCCGAAUCCCAGAGAGGAUUUUUGAAGAUGAUAGAAAAUUAAGAAAAUGUCUUUUUGAGCAUAACAAAAAGCGUCCAAAAAAAGCCGUAAGUGUAAGGAUACAAUCAAAACAAAAGAGAGCGCGCGCGAAAGAGAGAGAGAGAGAGAGAGAGAGAGUGAGAAUGAAUGAAUGAAGAUAGUAUGAUUGGAAAAGGAAAGAUUGAAAAAUCGUGCGUGAUAGAAAGAAGGAGAGAAUAAGGAGAAACGAUGGAGUGCAAUUUUUAAGAGAAGAAGAUAGAAAGAAAGAAAAACGUAAAGAGAGAAUGAGAAAGAAGAUGAGAAGAGUCGUCGUUCAAUUAUAUUAUAAUACAAAGAAAAAGAUAAGAUAUAGAUAAAAAAAAAAAAUGUAUGUUUCAACGGGUUUACUCCAUAAAAAUGAAAGAUUCCAAAUAUUCGAAUAUGGCGGCGGUAUUAAUCACGUGAAAUAGACGAAUAAAGUGGUGGACGCGACAUAUAUUUCCAACGAUAUAUAUACAUACAUAUAUUUAUAUAUCACCGUUCGAAGUGUAGUUGCUGAUGGUUAAAAGAAUUACGUCUCCCCUUCGUAAAAGCGUUGUGUGAUGUUGGAUUCGUUGCACCGUAAAAGAAGGAUCAUCGAAAGGCAAGAAGAAUUUUUCUUUAGCCUUCAUAGACAACUUUAACAACGUUUCUUAUUCGUGAGUCACGCUGUUCGAGACGAGAUAGAUAGAUAGAUAGAUAACUAAGAUAAGAUAGAUAGGACACAUUGAUAGAUCGAAGAAGCAAAAGCAACAGCAAAAGCAGCAACCAACAACAGCGCAAUAAUACGGAUUGGGAGAACAAGAUUGUGAGAGAUAGAGAGAGAGAGAGAGAGACAAGGGAGAAGAAGAAUAUCUUUCGAAGCUUUGGAGAUUAGAGAGUAAGAGAAAGAUGGAGAAAAGAGAAAGUCCGUAAGCAAGACGACGACGACGACAACGAUGGGUUCGGUUUUUCGAAUCGUCGUCGUCGUUGUCGCUUUACGCACCGACACGACGACACGACGACGAAGUAAAUAACAUUUUUCCCUUUUUGGAAGUAUGUCUGCAAGUUUACGGAGAAGUUUUAAAGAAGAACGUAGAAAAAGAAUAAGAAAAAUCUAGAAGAAGAAGAAGAAGAAGAAGAAGAAGAAGAAGAAGAAGAAGAAGAAGAAGAAGAAGAAGAAGACGAAGUUUUUUCAUUCCUUUUCCAAUAUCAUAGUUUCAUCCAUUUCAUCUUUUUUAAUUCAAUUAUUCUAUUAUAUUCUCCUUAUUCCCUUUCCCAUUAUCUCGGUUUUCCCGUUUUCCCAAACAACACAAAAACUUUGUCCGUCCUUAACGACCAAAGAUUUUCUAAAAUCAUCUUUGGCCGUCGUUUAAACAUAUUCCUACAAAAAUAAUUUCAUUUUAUAUGUCCUUUUCUUAUAUAUAUAUCCCAUUUGGAUGUUCACAACCACCAUUCUAUUAUCAGAUCCCUCUAUUUUUCUUUAGGGCCCUUUUUAGGGCCCGCAAAUGAUCAAUAAACGCAAAGGUACGAAUUUACGAUUCACAUUUAUAAUUCGAAGAAGAAUGAAGAUUCUGUCCUUUUCAGGACAAAUGAUGGAGGACAAAAAGUCUUGAAAAAUCUGUCCUUUUCAGGACAAAUGGUAUUUCCUCGGAUAACUAAGGUAUUAUAAUUUCAGAAUAUUUCUUUAGAAAAGAUAAAAUCCUCUUUCAGUGAUUAUUUUUACUUUUCUAAUUGCUGGAAUAACCUAAGGAGAAGGACACAAGUUAUUACAAGGACAAGUUAUUACAAGGACGAGAAAAGUGGAUCCUUUUUGUAAGGUAUAUAUAUUCUAACUUAUUAACGCACACGACGAGAGAUUCGAGAUGCGAGUUGUCACAUUAUCAAGGUCAAACGAAGAAAGACUGCCAGUAGAUGUCUCUAGAAGGCAGUAAGUAUUAUAUUUGAUUCAUUAAAAAAUUUUUCUUUUUAUUUUUAAACGAUAGAAAUAAUUCGAUACGUUCGACGUAAAGUUUCUCUUUUGAUUUUUCGCUGAAAAUAUGAUCGUUCAAGGAGGAAGAUAGUCGUUUUCUCUUUCGAAACAUUCAUAUUCUAAGCGGAUUGACGUCACAUUGACAUAGAACAAUUUUUCGAUGACUCAUUUCGAAACAUCGACCAAUAUUAUCUCUUUUCUACAACUUCGUUUUGCAGAUACGGAUAAAAGAACUUCCUCUGAUCGCAUAAAGUGAUCUAGAUACAAGCAACGUCACAGUAAAUUACGCAAUAGAUAAAUAUUUGCGUUGUUAAAGAUGGAAUAACAUUAUAACGACUACGCAUUUUGCAAAGAAAAAAAAAAAAAAAAAGAAAUCGUCGAAGAAGUCCAAUGCCUACGUUCAACCAGAAAGAUAAAACAAAGAAAGGAGGUUUCUGGGCCUUGUUUAUCGAUGGUUUAUAUAUUUGUGAAUCUUAUCAGUUAUUCGCGUCGUAGAAGACGCAAUAACAUAACACAACACAUAAACAAAAAUCCUCGACGAUGUCAAGUAUCUACGUUAAACUAAGGAGAUAAUAAAACGAAGAUAAUAUGGGUCUUGUUUGCUGAUGUAUGUACAUGUUCCUGAAAUAAAAGGUAAAUAAUAUA